AUACAGACUUGGAACAUCAUAUUAACGAUAGUUAUGAAAACAAAGUAAGGAAUACAUUUGACUAAUUUUGAAUUAAUCAAUUUAAGCAAUUGAAAAUUAACAAUAUAAUGUAUGCUUCAUAAAGUUUGCUUUAAUUUGAAACAUAUAAUUCCUAAUGGUUUGGACUUUUUUUUUUGAGAUGGAGUCUUACUCUGUUGCCCAGGCUAGAGUGCAGUGGUGCAAUCUCAGCUCACUGCAGCCUACGCUUCUCGGGUUCAAGUGAUUCUCCUGCCUCAGCCUCCUGGGUAGCUGGAUUACAGGCGCAUGCCUCCACGCCCAGCUAAUUUUUGUAUUUUUAGUAGAGAUGGGAUUUCACCAUGUUGGUCAGGCUGGUCUCAAACUCCUGAUCUCAAGAUCUGCCAGCCUGGGCAUCCCAAAGAGCUGGGAUUACAGGCAUGAGCCACCACGCCCAGCCAAUGCUUUGGAAUUUUAACUCAGCUGCCUGUUCUCUUUUGAUACAGACACAUCUGUAAAGCCUACUCUAGGCAAUGCUCUUAUACUUUCAUUAAGAAAGAGGUCACAUUUUUUCAGUGUGCCCUAACAUUACUCUGUACAAAUACUCACAGCUCUGCUCUGUCUUCGCUGCUGUGUAGUGACAGCCAAUGGCAUGCAUAAUACACUUGCUGGUCACAAGGGUAUGUAGGCUCCACCUUUAUAUUACUCUCCCACACAGUGUGAAAGUAGAUGCUGCCGCUCGUGUAAGCUGAAAUCUUUCACUCACUGUCUGCCUUUGAAGGGGCAGGAAUGCUAAAACUUAUCUACCUACUUGUCCAUGGCAGACUCAGCAAUCCUCAUGGAAAAUUUUCUAAGUGGCAUUAAAACAAAGGAAAAUGAAGUAGGAAGAAUUUGUAGAGAUCAACUUGUAAGAAGUUAUAAUUAAAGAAUGAAAGGGCCUCAUUCUGUGACUCUGGCUGGAGAGCAGUGGCUCGAACAUAGUUCACUGCAGCCUUAAAUUCAUAGGCUCAUGCAAUCCUGCUACCUCAUUUUCCCAAAGUACUGUAAUUACAUAAUUAUUUAUCUGCUUUAUGAUAGCUCAUUAUAGAUCUUAAGGAAGACCAUUUUGUCUCUUUUUAUUUGCUCUUGUGGUAACUUUUACCUAGUAAAAAUGCCAGUUUUUUUUUCUUCUGCAUGGUGAAUCAGAAAACAGAUUUACUUCAGCUCCACUAAUUUCCAUCCCCGAAACAUAUAGAAGAAUAUAAACAAUAUGGAACAAAUGAAAAUGUAUUUUAUUAACAGACAUUUUACUUCCACAUCCAUAAGGAGGCAGUGGCCUUGCAGAUGUAAUUAGUUGAGUUUAUACUGAAUUAUAGAAGGUCCUAAAUCCAUCGACUUAUUUUCUUAUAAGAAGACCUACAAAGACAUGCAGGGAAAAUACCAUGUGAAAUUUCAUAUGGAAUUUUCAUAUGGAAAAUACCAUAUGAAAGGCAGAACUUGGAGUGACGGAUUACAAGCCAAGAAGCUUCAAGGAUUACCAGCAGACACCAGAUGCUGAAAGAGGCAAGGAAAAAUACUUUUCUAGAACCUUCAGAGAGAGCAUGGUCCUGCUGACUAAGAAGUGGGGUGCUGCAGUAACAAAUAGCAAAAAUCAUGGUAAGUCAUGGGUAGCUGCUGGAAGGAUUUUGAAGCAUAUGAUAGAUAAAGCAUAGAUUCCUUUGAAGUGAUUGUUGGUAGAAAUAUAGAUGUUAAAUGUGAUUUUGAUGAGGGCUUAGUAGGAAGCGAAGAGGUUGGUAGAGAAUGUUUCUACUAGGGUGGUGCAAAAGUAACCACGGUUUUUGCCGUUAAAAGUAAUAUCAUCUAAGGUAAUACACAUGUCAUCAUAUACAGAAUGUUGCUAGAAAUAUGAAUGUUAGUUAAUUCUGGUAAAGUCGCGGACAUGAAGAAUCAUGUCAGUGAAAACAUUUCUAGGUAUUUAUUACAGCAGCACUCCACCGCUCAGCAGAAAAAUCUAUAUUAAUUUCCUGGUACUUUUGGAGUCAAGUGCUGCAAGCUGGGUGACUUACCACAAAAGUAAUUCCUUCUUUCACACAUCUGGAGGCUAGAAGUUGGAAACCAAGGUGUUAGCAGGGUCAUGCUCCCUCUGAAGAUUUUAGGAAAUAAUGCUUUCCUUGCUUCUUCUAGCUUCUAUUACUUUUUGUCAAUUCUUAGUUCCUUGGGUUUUAGCUGCAUCACCCCAAUUCCUGCCUUUAGGUUUUCUAAAAUACUUGAAGCAGAGAAAUUCAUAAUAAAUCACGUAAUUGAUUAAUUAACCAGUACUUUUUAAUGUAUCUACUAAGAUUAGCUCGGAGGCCCACAAUAUAUUGGUCCUAUUCCCUUACAAGAUGUUUAAAUAUGGAAAUAUUUAACAAUAAGUGUUAGUAUAGGACAGUAAGUGACCAAAAGCUAAGUAUUUUCUUCAAAAAAAAUAAAUAAAUAAAAAUUGAGUAAGAGUACAGUCAAAUGAAUAGAGUUUGGAAUAUUCAGGGGAGUCUUUGUGAUAAAGCUCAGAAAUGAUGUUAAUAAUUAUCAGUUGGGGGAUAUGAAAGAAAUGAAGUUCUAUAAAGACCCUAAAUAAAUGAGUACUAUCUAUAUGAAUAGGCAGGUGACAUGAAUAAAAUAAUUGAGGACUUUAUAACUGGUAUAUUCACCCCAUAGAUAAAUAAUAUUUACCUCAAUAAAUGUCUAAAUGUAUCAAAACCUUAGACAUUUCAGAAACAAGAAAUAAAGUACCAUAAGGUCUAUUCACUUCAAUAACAAGAAUAAAGUAUUACCUUUGCCCAUCAUUAAAACGGUUAUAUAACUGCUUUACAGUUUCGUUUUUUUCCUAAUAUAUUUCAAACCAUCAGUUUCAAAGAUCUUGCCUGUAAAAUCACCUUCCUAUUGUAGAUUGAGUUUUAGAUUUACAUGUAUUUAUACAGAAAACAUAAAGCAGCUGAAUGUAGAAAAUGAAAAAGAAUCUUGCAGAAGGUAAAAUUUUCCUUCUAAUUUCUUUGAAGCAGAAAAGAUAACUAUUGGGUACUGUGGUUAAUACUUGGGUAAUUAAAUCAUAUGUACAACAAACCCCUGUGACACAUGUUUACCUCCAUAACAAACCUUCACAUGUACACUCAAACCUAACAUAAAAAUUUUAAAAAAAUAGAAUACUGAAGGAUCACCGAAGGGACUAGUUUUGAAUUUUCAAAUGAUAUUUUAAAAGCUAUAACACUUCUUAGUAUAAUAUCUGAUUUUAAGUUAGCAUGUACACUUUUAAAUAAUGCAAUCUUUAAAUAAAAUCACUAUGCAUCAGCUGAGUUUAGCGUCAAUAAAACUUUUCUUUGUGAAGCAUAUAGUUUUUGUAUAUUUAAGAUAGGAAAAUACAAAGUAAGUAUAAAGUCUAGGAA
rnacentral:lncRNA from 10 species